rnacentral:lncRNA from 1 species
CAGAAGACAGUUGCCCCACAUCACGGCAGCCGAAAAAGGCAACGGACCGCACUAGAGCCCAGUACACAGUUUCAUCAUGGGGCGCAGAUGCAGUACAUUACCAGCUUAUCACCUUACGCCUAUUUCAUGCGCAGUUUUUUGUACAGUGGCACGUGAGCAAUCCGGGGGUGGGGAACCGGGCAGAGGAUAGGGCAGGAAGCCUCGGGUUAGGUUUCGCGAGUUGAAAAGUAAUCC